UUGAACGCUGGCGGCAUGCUUUACACAUGCAAGUCGAACGGUAACAGGCCUUCGGGUGCUGACGAGUGGCGAACGGGUGAGUAAUGCAUCGGAACGUACCCAGAGGUGGGGGAUAACGCAGCGAAAGCUGUGCUAAUACUGCAUGUGUUCUGAGGAUGAAAGCGGGGGACCGAGCAGCAAUGUUUGGCCUCGCGCCUUUGGAGCGGCCGAUGUCGGAUUAGCUAGUUGGUGGGGUAAAGGCCUACCAAGGCGACGAUCCGUAGCUGGUCUGAGAGGACGACCGGCCACACUGGGACUGAGACACGGCCCAGACUCCUACGGGAGGCAGCAGUGGGGAAUUUUGGACAAUGGGCGCAAGCCUGAUCCAGCAAUGCCGCGUGCGGGAAGAAGGCCUUCGGGUUGUAAACCGCUUUUGGCAGGAACGAAACGGUGUCCGCUAAUACCGGGCGCUAAUGACGGUACCUGCAGAAUAAGCACCGGCUAACUACGUG
rnacentral:rRNA from 1 species